rnacentral:rRNA from 1 species
AACGAACGCUGGCGGCAGGCCUAACACAUGCAAGUCGAACGCCCUAGCAAUAGGGAGUGGCAGACGGGUGAGUAACACGUGGGAACCUUCCCUAUAGUACGGAAUAGCCCAGGGAAACUUGGAGUAAUACCGUAUACGCCCGAGAGGGGAAAGAUUUAUCGCUAUAGGAUGGGCCCGCGUCGGAUUAGCUAGUUGGUGAGGUAAUGGCUCACCAAGGCAACGAUCCGUAGCUGGUUUGAGAGAAUGACCAGCCACACUGGGACUGAGACACGGCCCAGACUCCUACGGGAGGCAGCAGUGGGGAAUCUUGGACAAUGGGCGCAAGCCUGAUCCAGCCAUGCCGCGUGAGUGAUGAAGGCCUUAGGGUUGUAAAGCUCUUUUGGCGGGGACGAUAAUGACGGUACCCGCAGAAUAAGUCCCGGCUAACUUCGUGCCAGCAGCCGCAGUAA